rnacentral:rRNA from 1 species
UUCCGGUUGAUCCUGCCGGAAGUCACUGCUAUCGGGGUUCGAUUGAGCCAUGCGAGUCGAGAGGGUUCGGCCCUCGGCGUACUGCUCAGUAACACGUGGAUAACCUGCCCUAGGGAAGGGGAUAAUCCCGGGAAACUGGGGAUAAUACCCUAUAGGUUACAGAUGCUGGAAUGCUCUGUAAUCAAAAGUUCCGGCGCCCUAGGAUGGAUCUGCGGCCGAUUAGGUUGUUGUUGGGGUAAUGGCCCAACAAGCCAGUAAUCGGUACGGGUUGUGGGAGCAAGAGCCCGGAGUUGGAUUCUGAGACACGAAUCCAGGCCCUACGGGGCGCAGCAGGCGCGAAAACUUUACAAUGCGGGCAACCGUGAUAAGGGAACCUCGAGUGCCUGUAAAUGCAGGCUGUUCAGAUGCCUAAAACACAUCUGGAGAAAGGGCCGGGCAAGACCGGUGCCAGCCGCCGCGGUAAUACCGGCGGCUCGAGUGGUGGCCACUUUUAUUGGGCUUAAAGCGUUCGUAGCUGGGUUGUUAAGUCUCUUGGGAAAUCUGGCGGCUUAACCGUCAGGCGUCUAAGGGAUACUGGCAAUCUUGGAACCGGGAGAGGUGAGGGGUACUUCGGGGGUAGGAGUGAAAUCCUGUAAUCCUCGAGGGACCACCUGUGGCGAAGGCGCCUCACCAGAACGGCUUCGACAGUGAGGGACGAAAGCUGGGGGAGCAAACCGGAUUAGAUACCCGGGUAGUCCCAGCCGUAAACUAUGCGCGUUAGGUGUAUCGGUGACCACGAGUUACCGAGGUGCCGAAGGGAAACCGUGAAACGUGCCGCCUGGGAAGUACGGUCGCAAGGCUGAAACUUAAAGGAAUUGGCGGGGGAGCACCACAACAGGUGGAGCCUGCGGUUUAAUUGGAUUCAACGCCGGG